AAGUCGUAACAAGGUUUCCGUAGGUGAACCUGCGGAAGGAUCAUUAACACUUUUGAAAGCAUCCAAUAUCAACUUUUUACAACCAAACGGUCAACUAUCUCCUCCCUAUUUCGCACACCGGAGACGGUACGAGUAGGCUAACAUGUCAAUAAUUAAUUAACAAGCAAAUUGUUUGUUUGUUAGUUGGUUAUUUUCAAACACAAGAUAACCCCUUUUAAUUAUAUUAUUCAUUUAAUAUAAACGAACAACUCUUCGAUUUGCAACUUCUCUUUAAACCAGAAGAAACAAAAACGAACUAAACUAAAAUAUACAUUCGAUAUAUUUUUAUUUUACGAAAUAAUAUAUAUUUAUAAGAACAACUCUUAGCAAUGGAUAUCUUGGUUCUC
rnacentral:misc_RNA from 1 species